UACGUAGGGGGCAAGCGUUGUCCGGAUUUAUUGGGCGUAAAGCGCGUGUAGGCGGCUGGGUAGGUCCGCUGUGAAAACUCGAGGCUCAACCUCGAGAGGUCGGUGGAAACCAUCCAGCUAGAGUCCGGAAGAGGAGAAUGGAAUUCCUGGUGUAGCGGUGAAAUGCGCAGAUAUCAGGAAGAACACCCGUGGCGAAGGCGGUUCUCUGGGACGGUACUGACGCUGAGACGCGAAAGCGUGGGGAGCGAACAGG
rnacentral:rRNA from 1 species